rnacentral:rRNA from 1 species
UACGGAGGGUGCGAGCGUUUGUCCGGAAUCACUGGGCGUAAAGGGCGCGUAGGUGGCCUGUGGAAGUCUGCGGUGAAAGCCCGGCGCUCAACGCCGGGUCGGCCGUGGAUACUCUCGGGCUUGAGCUUACUAGAGGCAGAUGGAAUUCCCGGUGUAGCGGUGAAAUGCGCAGAUAUCGGGAGGAACACCUAUGGCGAAGGCAGCUCGCUGGGACGUUACUGACGCUGAGGCACGAAAGCGUGGGGAGCAAACAGG